rnacentral:misc_RNA from 1 species
GAUAAGAACGCAGCGAAAUGCGAUAAGUAAUGCGAAUUGCAGAAUUCAGUGAAUCAUCGAAUCUUUGAACGCACAUUGCGCCCGCCAGUAUUCUGGCGGGCAUGCCUGUCUGAGCGUCGUUUCGACCCUCGCGCCCGGCUUCUGUCGGGGGCGGUGUUGGGGAUCGGCCACACCCUUCAGUGGGAGGCCGGCCCCUAAAUUCAGUGGCGACCACGCUGUAGCCUCCCCUGCGUAGUACUAAAACCACCUCGCAGGCGGAGAGCGGUGCGGCCCGCCGUAAAACCCCCCAACUUUUACAAGGUCGACCUCAGAUCAGGUAGGAAUACCCGCUGAACUUAAGCAUAUCAAUAAGCGGAGGA